GAGCCGGUAGCUCAGCAGGUAGAGCAACGGCCUUUUAAGCCGUGGGUCCCGGGUUCGAUCCCCGGCCGGCUCACCA
rnacentral:tRNA from 1 species